rnacentral:rRNA from 1 species
AAAUGAAUAGACGGGGGCCCGCACAAGCAGCGGAGCAUGUGGUUUAAUUCGAAGCAACGCGAAGAACCUUACCUGGACUUGACAUCCCCUGAAUAACCUAGAGAUAGGCGAAGCCCUUCGGGGCAGGGAGACAGGUGGUGCAUGGUUGUCGUCAGCUCGUGUCGUGAGAUGUUAGGUUAAGUCCUGCAACGAGCGCAACCCUUAUUGUUAGUUGCUAACAUUCAGUUGAGCACUCUAACGAGACUGCCGCGGUUAACGCGGAGGAAGGUGGGGAUGACGUCAAAUCAUCAUGCCCCUUAUGUCCAGGGCAACACACGUGCUACAAUGGGCAGAACAAAGAGAAGCAAUACCGCGAGGUGGAGCCAAACUCAAAAACUGCUCUCAGUUCGGAUUGCAGGCUGAAACUCGCCUGCAUGAAGCUGGAGUUGCUAGUAAUCGCGAAUCAGCAUGUCGCGGUGAAUACGUUCCCGGGCCUUGUACACACCGCCCGU